UUAGAUUCUUUUGAGAGGAAGGGUUGGUUUCUCAUAAAAGGAUUUCUCUGUGUAUUAGCCCUGGCUGUCCUGGAACUAGUCCUGUAGACCAGGUUGGCCUCAAACUCACAGAGAUCCAGCUGCUUCUGCCUCUUGAGGGCUGAGAACACAGGUUUGUGGCUCCACCACUGUGUUUUUGUUUCUGUUUGUUUUGGGGAGGGUUGUUGCUUUGUUUUCUUUUGUUUUUAGAUUGGUUGUAACGUCUUAGUAUCUUUUAGUCUUUCAUGUCUUCACUCAGACUUCCAAGCACCUAUCAGUAAUUUGACAGAUAAGGGAGGAGAAUGUGCUCAAAGCUUUCAACUCUGGCUCAGUAAGGGUUAAUCUGGACUCCGAGGAUAAAAUGGCCGAGUUGCACAAAAAGAAAUUACGUCUGACAGCAAGGCAGCCAGCUCAUGAGAUGGAAGACAGCAUAGGCUUGCAACCCAACCAGCGUGUCUGCCUGCCUCUGAGCUUGAACUCAGGAAGUAGAGUCUGUUUCUUCUCCUUCACUUAACAUAGAGAUAUCAGAAGAGAUUGUCAAAUCAUCUGGAAUGGAGUUACAGAUGGUCGUGAGUUGACAUGUGAGUGCUGG